AGCCUCUCUUAGAAGCGGAAGGGUUAUUUGCUUGUUGAAGUGAGUUAAUCUCGUCUUUCUUUUGGUUGUGUAAAUCGGCACUACAAGACAAUUUAAAGUAACGAUAUGGGUCAGGAAUUAGGAAGGUCUAGAAAGCUGAAUGGUGAAGGUUCGUCCCAACGCAUUGAAAUUGCAGACCUAGUCCUAGACGGACCAACAAGGCUUGCGUCUUGCUUCCUCGUCCAUCAUGCGCUGAAAGAUAUGUAAAAGAAUUGACUUCAAACUUCCAACAAAGUCACCCGGAUUAGGAAAAUUCGAUGACUGGCAUUUUCAAGACGAUGAUCUGUGUGCAAAAGUUAUUUUACACGAUGAUCAUACUUCAGGAGCUGCUCCAUUGGGGAAAAUAGAUUCACAAGAACAGAACCAACAACACCAAGAAAAAGGAAUUGUUGUGAAAGAACAUAAUAUUCAAACUUCAAGAAUAAGGUUGCUAUCAACAUUCGAGGAGAAUAGCAGGGAAUCACGAACAAGGGGAUUACAGUUUCCGGUUACACAACGCUAGGGAGGUUUUCGCAGUCUACUCAGCUUCUCCCAGUCUACUCAGCUUCUCCCAGUCUACUCUGCUUCUCCACUGCGCUAAAGUAAAUGAUCAUCAUCCAUCGCGCUGAACUUCAAGAUCAUCGUCUUAACAAUGCAUAUGGUUGUGAUUGGGGAGAGGGCAGAGAGACAGACGGCCACUUCGCGAUCGCAUGGGGGGGAAUCCCGAGGAUACAACCAUAUCAACCUAAGCCCGAAAGGAGGAGAGGAUGUAUUACGAUUUGUAGUGCAAAAUCCGAUCUCAUCAGUUUAGAAACUCUCCACUUUAAAUUUGAUUUUAUUUUUUAGCUUGCAUAAUGUAUUUUUCUUUAAAAAAAAGCAGGAGGCGGCAAAAUACUAUGUAUUUCCAACUGUUUCUAUGUAUACAUGUUGGGAGCAUUAAA